rnacentral:lncRNA from 1 species
GCCCUGCGGCAGUGCCAGCGUGAGAACCAGGAGCUCAAUGCCCACAACCAGAGCUGAACAACCGCCUGGCUGCAGAGAUCACACGGUUGCGGACGCUGCUGACUGGGGACGGCGGUGGGGAGGCCACUGGGUCACCCCUUGCACAGGGCAAGGAUGCCUAUGAACUAGAGUCUUAUUGCGGGUAAAGGAAUCGGAAAUACAGUACCUGAAACAGGAGAUUAGCUCCCUCAAGGAUGAGCUGCAGACGGCACU